rnacentral:rRNA from 1 species
AGUCGAACGCGAAGUCCCCUUCGGGGGACAAGUAGAGUGGCGCACGGGUGAGUAACACGUAGGUAAUCUACCUUCGGGUGGGGAAUAACAACCGGAAACGGUUGCUAAUACCGCAUAAUGCAGCGGCACCUAAUGGUGACAGUUGUUAAAGCGGGGGAUCGCAAGAUCUCGCGCCUGAAGAGGAGCCUGCGGCGGAUUAGCUAGUUGGUAGGGUAAUGGCCUACCAAGGCGACGAUCCGUAGCCGGCCUGAGAGGGCGGUCGGCCACACUGACACUGACAUACGGGUCAGACUCCUACGGGAGGCAGCAGUCGGGAAUUUUGGGCAAUGGGCGAAAGCCUGACCCAGCAACGCCGCGUGAAGGAUGAAAUCCCUCGGGAUGUAAACUUCGCAAGAACGGGAAGAAUAAGUUUGUGCUAAUACCACAAGCGAUGACGGUACUGUUUGUAAGCUCCGGCUAACUCCGUGCCAGCAGCCGCGGUAAUACGGGGGGAGCAAGCGUUGUUCGGAUUUACUGGGCGUAAAGGGCGCGUAGGCGGCCUCCGCAAGUCAGUUGUGAAAUCUCCGAGCUUAACUCGGAAAGGUCAACUGAUACUGCGGAGCUAGAGUGCGGAAUGGGCAACUGGAAUUCUUGGUGUAGCGGUGAAAUGCGUAGAUAUCAAGAGGAACACCUGCGGCGAAAGCGGGUUUGCUGGGCCGACACUGACGCUGAGC